ACAGUGGACGCGAGCAUCUUUGUGGCUCAAGUUUUUAAGGGCACACGGUGGAUGCCUUGGCACCAGGAACCGAAGAAGGACGUAGGAAUCUGCGAUAAGCCUCGGGGAGUCGAUAACCAGACUGUGAUCCGAGGAUUUCCGAAUGGGGAAACCCGGCUGGAGGCAAGUCCAGUCACUCCCGCCUGAACACAUAGGGCGGGUAGAGGGAACGUGGGGAAGUGAAACAUCUCAGUACCCACAGGAAGAGAAAGCAACCGCGAUUCCGUGAGUAGUGGCGAGCGAAAGCGGAAGAGGCUAAACCUCAGUUGUGUGAUACCUGUCAGGGGUUGCAGCUGGGGGGUCGUGGGACUUUUCGGUCAGUGCUGACACGCUGGCAUGGAGUCAGAAAUGCGCGUUGUAGUCGAAGGGCAUUGAAAGGCCCGGCACAGAGGGUGCUACCCCCGUAGACGAAACGAUGCGCACUCCAGAGAAGUAUCCCAAGUAGCACGGGGCCCGAGAAAUCCCGUGUGAAUCUGGCGGGACCACCCGCUAAGCCUAAAUAUUCCCUGGUGACCGAUAGCGGACAAGUACCGUGAGGGAAAGGUGAAAAGUACCCCGGGAGGGGAGUGAAAUAGAUCCUGAAACCGUGUGCCUACAAUCCGUCGGAGCCUCCUUGUGGGGUGACGGCGUGCCUUUUGAAGAAUGAGCCUGCGAGUUAGUGCUCAGUGGCGAGGUUAACCCGUGUGGGGAAGCCGUAGCGAAAGCGAGUCCGAAUAGGGCGUUUUAGUCGCUGGGUCUAGACCCGAAGCGGAGUGAUCUACCCAUGGCCAGGUUGAAGCGACGGUAAGACGUCGUGGAGGACCGAACCCACUUAGGUUGAAAACUGAGGGGAUGAGCUGUGGGUAGGGGUGAAAGGCCAAUCAAACUCCGUGAUAGCUGGUUCUCCCCGAAAUGCAUUUAGGUGCAGCGUCACGUGUUUCUUACCGGAGGUAGAGCUACUGGAUAGCUGAUGGGCCUCACCAGGUUACUGACGUUAGCCAAACUCCGAAUGCCGGUAAGUGAGAGCGUGGCAGUGAGACUGCGGGGGAUAAGCUCCGUAGUCGAGAGGGAAACAGCCCAGACCACCAUCUAAGGUCCCUAAGCGUGUGCUAAGUGGGAAAGGAUGUGGAGUUGCAUUGACAACCAGGAGGUUGGCUUAGAAGCAGCCACCCUUUAAAGAGUGCGUAAUAGCUCACUGGUCAAGUGAUUCCGCGCCGACAAUGUAGCGGGGCUCAAGCACACCACCGAAGCUGUGGCAUUGACACACUGCUCGGCCAGUUUUCCUGCGGGGUUCUGGUCCAGGCGUGUUGAUGGGUAGGGGAGCGUCGUGUGGCCAGGGAAGCGGCGGAGUGAUCCAGCCGUGGAGGCCACACGAGUGAGAAUGCAGGCAUGAGUAGCGAAUGACGGGCGAGAAACCCGUCCGCCGAAUAACCAAGGGUUCCAGGGUCAAGCUAAUCUGCCCUGGGUAAGUCGGGACCUAAGGCGAGGCCGACAGGCGUAGUCGAUGGACAUCCGGUUGAUAUUCCGGAACCGGCGAAGAACCGCCCAUGACGAACCUAGUGAUGCUAAACGCCCAAAGCUGUUGUCCAAGACCUUCGGGUUGAGGGUUUCAGUGGAGCGCGUGACCCGAUCUAGUAGUAGUCAAGCGAUGGAGAGACGCAGGAAGGUAGCCUCCGCGUGGCGAUGGUAGUCCACGUCCAAGGGUGUAGGGCGAGCUGUAGGCAAAUCCG
rnacentral:rRNA from 1 species